CAACCACUGACCAAACUCCAGUCCAGGCAGCCAGCAGGCCCAGGGCUGGUGAGGCUUUGCUGCUUCCUUUGGCAGCUCUCAAGGUCCAGGGGGAGGGGUCCUGGGCCAGCUGGGGUUGGCCAGGCCAUCCCUGCAGCCCCAGCCCACCUCACAAGGACCCCUGCCUGCCACCUGAGAGGACAGCCCUCUUCUUGGAGCCAGGAGCUGACGCUUGCUGGUACCAACAGCCAAUACCAGAACUUCAAGACUGGACAGAAUGUCUCAGCCAACUCACCCAUUUGGUGGAUGGAAACACUGAGGUCCCCAGGGGAGUGCCAGCUGGCUCCAGGUUGAACCUGAGGGGAUCAACCCGCUGAGCCCUGAAGAUGGAAGACACAUGCUCAAGGCCAUUUAGUGGCAGCAGGGGAAGCUUGGCCUUAACGAGAAGACCAUGAGCUCUGUGAGGACCCCUCUGCUUCAUCGCAACCCUCAAGGAGCCUGGCAGUGCCUCCUACAGACCCCAGAAGGUGGAGCGUCUGUCCAUUCAGUCACUGAUGGCCAUUCACUGGGAUGCCACGGAAGCACUUCCGAGAGGAAGAUGAAGAAGCUUGGGGCUGAAGGCCAGUGGAUUUGGAAGGAAACAUUUAUGUGGUUAACUGAUAACUCAGCCCCAUCCUUGGGCCCCUGGAAGCCUCCUUCCUCCCUGUCCUCAGCAUGAUUAAGACGAACUUACCUGCCUGCUAAUCAUUGCUGAGCCUGUUGAUUUUGCCUUAAAAAAUUAACUGGGCAUGAGUUUGCGGUUUGCCUCACCCCUAACCCUGCAAAGCAAAGGCCUGGGUGGGCAGGAGGCCACCCGGGUUAUGCAAGAGGCCGUCGGCCUCCCCACGCAAGCCAGCAACCCCUCUGCUGCUCUCCAAAGGGGCUGGCUGGAAGCAGAGCGGUGCCUGAGAGCCACCGGAAGGCCAAGUCACCUGGCCCUGUGUCCUGUGGGCCCUCUGAGGAGUAGCCAUGAGCUGCAAACCAGAGGCUCCAAGUUCUAACCCAUCUCAGCCUUGUCCUCUCUCUGGAGGCAUCAGGCCAUCGAAAAAGAAGCAGAGCCCUGCCCUGACUCUCUCAACCUCUCUGAGUCUCAGUUUUCUCACCUGUAAAUUGGGAAUAACAACACCUAACUCACAGAGUUGCCAUGAAGGUGAAAUGGACUGGGAUAUAUGCAGUAAUAACAAUGGCCUGUGUUUACAAAGCUGUUUUGAGAGCCUUCCGUGCAUUGACUCGUUAAUCCUCACAACCACUCUGGUACAUAAGGCAAUGUUUUUAUCACUAUCUUAUAGACCCGAGGCACAGAGUGGUUAAGUCAUAUGCUGAAGCUCGUACAGAUUAUAAGAAGCAAAAGCUGAGAUUCCCCGAGUAAUCGGGCUUUGGAGUCUGUGCUCCCAACUUCCGGGCCACCCUGCCCUACCCUGCCCUUCCAGGGCUGGCAUACAGUAAGUGCUCAAUGAAAGAUGGCCAAUAUGAUGAUAAGCACAAGGCACACAUGGGCUGUGUAGAUGGACUGUGAGGGCUGGAAGGUGGGAGAAAGAAGACAUAUCGCUGGGCUGGAGUGGUCAGAGAUGGAUUCCUGGAGGAAGUGGUGUCCUGUGCAGAGGGAACGUCCAGAAGUGGAGAACACUGUGGGUGACGGCAGAAAGUCAUGGAAGCUACUCUGGCUGGAGAGCAGGGCAUUAUGGGAGAGGCUAACUGUAAGGCUCAAGAGGUAGGGGAGAGAGUAGGGUCCAGAGAAUGAUCGGGAAGGAGGCCAGGAGGACUUGGGUCUGUGUGGGCUGGGCCUCCCUGCAGGCUGCCUUUUGCCAGGUGGCUUGUGACUUCUGGGCUGAGGCUGUUGCUGUCCUCCUGGUUAUGUUCCUCUCUCCUGGUUAUGCUCCUGCUUUUAUCUAGGCAGAGGUGACUUUGGGAGUUCAGUGGAGCCUGCCCAGCCCCUGGCAGGUCUGAAGGGUGAUGCGGAGCCCUGCCAAGCUCAGGCCCUGGUCUUUGGGUGGGGGGAUGAACCCACACCCCAGGAACCACCCUUGGGCUCCCCAAAUUCUUGCUCUGAAGGGCUCCAGGGAUCUGCCUGGAGGUCACUGAGAUGAAGUGUUUGGGAUCCUGAGACUCAGGCCAGGGUCACUGCAUACAGUUGUACAGGUUGCUCACUGCACAAAGGUUCUCUGGCUAAGGGGGCAAGUGGAGGUGGAAAUCCACCCUUGUUCCACUUACCAAGGAGCUUUGGCUGCCCAGAGAGGGACAUCAUUCAUUUAUUUUCACAAAGUCUCCAUGUGAGCUCUAUCCCAGCUCUGCUUCCAGCCACUGUGUGACCUUGGGCAAGGUCAUUUCUCUCCUCAGCCUUGGUUUCCCAUUUGAAAAGUUGUCUAGCAUAAAGCAGAGACUCACCCCUGAUGGUGAAUUAGAAUCAUCCGGGGCCCUUAAAAAUACUGAUGCCCACACCCCAUCACAGUCCAAUGAUCAAAUCUUGGUGGGGAGUGGGUGCUGGGUAUGAGUAUUUUUAAAAGUUCCCAGGUGAUCCUGAUAUGCAGCCAAGAUUGAGACCCCAAGACUGAAAUCUGGAACUGGAAAGGCCUAGGUGUGCAUCAAAGUUCUACAACUUCCUAGUUGCAACUUCAGUGAGGCUCCAUUUCCCCAUCUGUAGAAUGGGAACAGUGGCAGCUUCCUCAUAAAGUCAGAAUGCCAAUCCAGCAAGAUGCUGUUGAGACCGUGCUUGGCACUGUGGCUGGCAGGUAGGGGGCUCCCAAUUCUUAGUACCAGGACUAUUAUCUGCCUACUGACAACAUGAAAUUGGCUUAAAAUAAAGGGUCCUGUUAGGUCAAGGAUUCAGAGACUGGGAGUCAGGCUUUCUCUCUUCCGGAGUCAGGUUCUGGUAUGUGGGUCUCAGUCGUGGCUGCACACCUGUCGUAUUAUUGAGGUAUGAGUGAUGAUUCUUACGGUUUGAUAUUUUUCUCCAAAAUGGUACAAAAUUAAAUUUAUUUUUGAAUCAGUACUGCAUUCACAGGAUUCAAAAAUCAAAACAAUAUGAAAGGUGCACUUGAGAAAUCUGGCUUCCACUGCUGUCUCCUGUCCACCCACUUCACUCCAGCUGACCCUUCUCUGAACUUUCCUGACACAGACCUGGCUGGAUGUAAGACCAUAUACUAUCAUCCUCCAGCACUUAAAAUGACCUGCAUCUUGCUUUGUUCAUUUCAUAGCAUAACCUGGAGACUUCCCCACAGCAAUGGCAAGCAAGCUUUGAGGAAGGAAGGGUUAUUGCCCCGUCCCAGAUCUGAGCAUUCAGAGAGGUGCUGAACUACCUGAAGGGCUUGUGAAGCCUGAGCUUCAACCUGGGUGCCUUUGCAGACAAGCCGUGCAGCUCUCAGAGACCUGGGUAUGAAGACCAUGCUUGUCCUCUCUCCCACCAAGCUGACUGGAGAGUCUGAGCAAGCUCAUUCCAUCCUUCCUUUCUUUCCUUUGGGAUCUGCCUGCCUGUAAUAGCAAGAAACUUAGAAAACAGAAAACACGAGAAGAUGUUUGAACCUAUUGAAAUUGAAUGCACUCUUGAACUUGUCAGACCAAACAUCUCCAUUUUGGGGUCAAACAAUAUGGUCUGACUGUCUAAGACGCUCAAAACGAGACCAAGACUUCACGAGAUCCACCACCGAGCGGUACCUGGGGAGGCAGAGAAGAUGGAAGAAAAGUCACUCUGCCACCAGCGUGCUCGGUGACCUUGUUGAAUGAGCGAGUGAAGGAAGAGCUCAACUCACCGGCCAGAAUGGAUGGAGAGGUUCUGGCCCACGUAUCUCAUCAGCUGUGGGGGCCCGUGGGACCAAAUGCACUGGGUGGCCCAGGCCUCAGCAGACCUGGCCAGCUGCUCAUCCCAGACCUCGGAGAAAAGACAGGUCAUGAAAUUCCCCAGGGGAACAACUGCCAUCAUCUCGACAGUGUCUAGAGAUGCACGUACACAGUACCAUUACUCCCCCACCCCCCGUCUCCUUGGAACCCUGCAACAAACCCACCCGAUAAAUUAGAAGACCGAAACUCAAGGUCAACAGCAAGUCCACACCAGAGCCAGAUCCACACCUAGGUUUCUGACUCCUAGCCAGAUGCCCUUUUUCUCUCCCUUGGCUUCAAGCCUGGGGCUCUCUGCUCCAAGCAGGGUCCCAGGGUACUGGCCCGGGAGUUCCCAGCAUCCCUAGAAGUGACUGCACCCAGGGUGAUGGGAAGACAAUGGAUUUUUAAAUUGUAUUUAUUUUAUUUUUAAAAUGUGUUCAUUUUAACAUUAAAAAUUUUUAAUUCAAAA